GAUGAAGAACGUAGCGAAAUGCGAUAAGUAAUGUGAAUUGCGGAAUUCAGUGAAUCAUCGAAUCUUUGAACGCACAUUGCGCCCGCCAGUAUUCUGGCGGGCAUGCCUGUUCGAGCGUCAUUACAACCCUCAGGCCCCCGGGCCUGGCGUUGGGGAUCGGCGGAGCCCCCCGUGGGCACACGCCGUCCCCCAAAUGCAGUGGCGGUCCCGCCGCAGCUUCCAUCGCGUAGUAGCUAACACCUCGCGACUGGAGAGCGGCGCGGCCACGCCGUAAAACACCCAACUUCUGAAUGUUGACCUCGAAUCAGGUAGGAAUACCCGCUGAACUUAAGCAUAUCAAUAAGCGGAGGA
rnacentral:misc_RNA from 1 species